rnacentral:rRNA from 1 species
AUGGCCGCCGCCGACCGUCUCUCCGCCCUCGCCGACGACCUCCUGCAGCGCAUCCUGUCCUUCGCGCCGGCCAAGGAGGCCGCGGCCAGCGCUGCCCUCUCGCGCCGAUGGCGUCCGCUGUGGCGCCGCACGGGUGCCCUCAACCUCGACAGCAAGCCCUACCCCCGCCAAUACUCCUACGGGAACCGCCACGACCCCUACGACGACUUCUUCCGCCACGGCAUGGCCGCCCUCGGCUGCCGCCGCGAAACGGCGCUCAAGAGGCUCACGCUCUACCUCGGGAUGGACGCCUACCUCGUUGGUGGCAAGUACUACAGCUCCCACGACGGGGAUCCGGAGUUCGAUGCCCGGGUCACCGGCCUCCUCGUCGACCCCGCUGCGGCCGCGCUGGAGGAGCUCCGCAUCGCUGCUGAGCCCUCCUACCGAAAUUCCUACGUAGCGCCGCUGGCCUCCCUGCCGUGCGCCACCACGACGCUCCGGGUUCUGGAGCUCGACUCCUGCGACCUCGAGCCGUCCGCGCGGCUCGCUUUUCCUUUGCUCACGGAUCUCACGCUGCGCAACUGCACUUACGUCGUGGGAUAUCUGCAGGUCGUGCUCGAUGCCGCCCCAGCGCUAAUCAGACUUGCGCUGGUGAACGUCACUAAUAAGCCGCCAAAGCCGCCGGCUUCCGAGAAGGAUCGCUACUAUACACCCAAGACUUUCAACCUGCCCCUCUGCCUCCGCUGCCCGACGGUCACCGCCUUGGUGCUCGAGACCACCGUCUCCGGGGAAGAGCUCGACGAUUCCCGCAACAUCGGCAUACAGCUCGACAUGCCGAGCCUAUGCUCCUUCCGCUACAAGGGGUUCCCCUUCAAGCUCUCGCUGACAUCGCCGGCGCCGGGGCUGGCACAAGUCCACCUCGACACCAACCACAGCGAGAGAGGUGUCUACAAGUGCGAGCCCACCGCGCGCGCUCUCGGCAGCUUCUCCAGCACGAGGGCCCUGAAGCUGCACCUCAAGAAGAUCGAGAACAUAUUCUCCCAUAACGCAUCAAGCAGCUACAGGUAUCAGGGUUCCACCGGCAACCAAGACCCCGACGAGGAGGUCACCCUGCCGAACUUCCCGAACCUGAAGCUCCUCGAAAUAGACGCAGAAUUCAACUACAGGGACAGCAACACGGCGUUGGCGUUGGCGAUGCUGCUCCACUCAUGCCCGGCAAUGUCGGAGCUCCGACUCAGGCUAAACAUGACAUGGGACUACGACUACGAUCGCAAGACCGAGAAACAGGCCGCCGGAGGCCCCUUCGCCCAGUCUGUGGAAAGGUUCAGCAGGCUCGGUUCCAUGUGCGCAGAACACCGGGACGACGUGGAGCUCGGCGGGGUCUCGGAGCUCCCGGCCGCCUUCGCCAACAACUCCGCGUUCAGCUGCCUGAGGACGUGCUUACGGAAGGUGACGCUGCAAUUCAAGUCCAAGGAGCUCAACUGCUUCCAGGUGCAGCUGGCCAAGUUCCUCGUGGAAAACGCCAUGGUACUCGAGGAGAUGCACGUCGAGGAUGGGGACCAAUUCUGGCCAGACCACCUCUUCGACAAGCUCACGAGAUGGAGGACCGACGCGUUCCGGAGGAGGAACCUAUCGGACACGACCGGUUUUCAGGUGUUCCAGCUA